AGGAAUUUAGCCUUGAGAAAAGCAGAAAAGGAAGAAGAGAAAAAGGCAAGGGAAAAUGUUCUCCAAAAACUACAACAGGACAAGAUAAAUAGAAGAUCUAAGCAUGAAUCAAUAUUGCCUAUAGAUAGCCUAGCCAAUGUCAGAUCAUCUGCUACUACUUUCGAACAGCAAGAUAAGAUAUUGCAGAAUCCAAAACCUGUUUCCACAAUUGAAAAGGUUGAUUACUUAAGGGAAUGUUUGAGGUCUCUCAAGCGUAAACACCAGGCCGAGCAUGGGAGAGUCAGAAAGGCCUUCGAAACACUUUCAAUUUAUGUUCGAAAUGUUGUCAAGAAUCCAAACGAGGAAAAGUACAGGAAGAUCAGACUAAGCAAUCCAUUAUUCCAAGUAUGAGAACUUCAUCACAUUAAACUACUCUCAAAAGAUUCUAUUAUAAUUCAAUUAGGUAGCAUUUGUUUUGGACUAAAAUUUGGGAAUAGGAUUUAGUAUUGUACUUGGUGGUAAGAUAUUGGAAUUAAAAUUUCGGAAUUUAAAAUUUCAGUUCCUUCAAUACCUCCAGAAAAUGAGAAUAACAGAGACUAAAAUUUUU